UUAAGCUACUAAGGGCACAUGAAGGAUGCCUUGGCACGAUCAGGCGAUGAAGGACGUGGUAAGCUGCGAAAAGCUUCGGGGAACUGCACACGAGUAUUGAUCCGGAGAUGUCCGAAUGGGGAAACCCGAUGGGAGUAAUGUUCCAUCAUUUCUUACUGAAUCCAUAGGUAAGAAAAGCGAGACCUGGGGAAGUGAAACAUCUCAGUACCCAGAGGAAAAGAAAUCAACCGAGAUUCCGCAAGUAGUGGCGAGCGAACGCGGAGAAGGCUAAACCGCCCGGUUUACCGGACGGGGUUGCGGGACUUCGACACGGCAAGACCAGUUGAUAGCAGAAGCUGUUGGAAAGCAGCGGCAUAGAGGGUGAUACCCCCGUAAGCGAAAUCGACUGUAAGCCCAGAAGUAUCCCAAGUAGGUCGGAACACGUGAAACUCUGACUGAAUCCGGGGGGCCCACCCUCCAAGCCUGAAUACUAGAUCGUGACCGAUAGCGCAUAGUACCGCGAGGGAAAGGUGAAAAAGUACCCCGGGAGGGGAGUGAAAAGUAUCUGAAAUCAUGUGUCUACAAAGUGUCGGAGCGAAAGCGACGGCAUGCCUUUUGCAUAAUGAGCCUGCGACUUACUCUAACGAGCGAGGUUAAGCGAAGUGCGGAGCCGAAGCGAAAGCGAGUGCGAAAAGCGCGUCUAGUUCGUUGGAGUAGACCCGAAGCUGAGUGAUCUAUCCAUGGCCAGGUUGAACCUGCAGUAACAUGCAGUGGAGGACCGAACCAGUUCAUGUUGAAAAAUGUUUGGAUGAGCUGUGGAUAGGGGUGAAAGGCCAAUCAAACUCAGUGAUAGCUGGUUCUCUUCGAAAUAGCUUUAGGGCUAGCCUUGCGUAAAUAGUUUAUGGGGGUAGAGCUACUGAUUGUUUGCGGGCCCUUACCGGGGUACCAAGAACUAUUAAACUCCGAAUACCAUAAACCGUACCGCAGGAGUCAGACUAUGGGGGAUAAGCUUCAUGGUCGAGAGGGAGACAGCCCAGACCGCCGGCUAAGGUCCCCAAUCCGGACUUAGUGGUUGGAAGGAUGUGAUGUUGCAUAAACAGCCAGGAUGUUGGCUUAGAGGCAGCCAUCAUUUAAAGAGUGCGUAAUAGCUCACUGGUCGAGUGAUAUCGCGCCGAAGAUGAUCGGGACUGAAGUACGGAACCGAAGCCGCGGAUCGUGAAUUUAUUCACGGUGGUAGAAGAGCGUUGUAUGCGGGUUGAAGCCGAAGAGGGAUCUGAGGUGGACUGCAUACAAGUGACCAUGCAGGCAUGAGUAGCGAAAAACCGGAUGAGAAUUCCGGUCACCGAAAACCUAAGGGUUCCCGGGGAAGGUUCGUCCGCCCGGGGUUAGUCGGAACCUAAGGCGAGGCCGAAAGGCGUAGUCGAUGGAGGACAGGUUAAUAUUCCUGUACCACCUUGUUGGAGUGAUGGAGGGACGCAGUAAGUCAGGCGAGCCGGGUGUUGAAUGUCCCGGUCGAAGGCCGACGGGUGCACGGCAGGCAAAUCCGCUGUGCGCAAGCCCGGGAGUCGUAAGGUAGCUGAACGCAAGUUCGGCGAAUUCGCUGUGGCGACGCUGACGAGAAAAGCUUCUAAACGUUGAUAACAGGGUGUCCGUACCGUAAACCGACACAGGUAGGUGAGGCGAGUAGCCUAAGGUGCGCGAGAGAAACCAACGUUAAGGAACUCGGCAAAUUGACCCCGUAACUUAGGGAUAAGGGGUGCCUUCGAUGGUGAAAGGACUUGCUCCUCGAGCUUUUGAAGGUUGCAACAAAGAGGCUGGUGCGACUGUUUAACAAAAACACAGCUCUAUGCUAACUCGCAAGAGGAUGUAUAUGGAGUGACACGUGACCAAUGCCAAAAGGUCAAUGGGAGAGGUUAGCGCAAGCGAAGCUUCGAUCUGAAGCCCUGGUGAAUGUCGGCCGUAACUAUAACGGUCCUAAGGUAGCGAAAUUCCUUGUCGGG
rnacentral:rRNA from 1 species